AUAGGAUCAGACCCCUCUUUGCUGUUUGUGGUGUUCCUAAGAAUGAUGCAAUAAUUCAUCAUUAGAAACCUGUUGCCAUCCCUGUUAUGAAAUGAAUAUUGAUUUUAAGUUAUGGGAUAUCAUAUACAAAGGUCACAUAAGGUCACAAAAUAUUAUGCCAAUAUCCGAUUUUUUUUUCCCCCUUUUUUCUUCUUCCAUUUUUUAUGCCGCAAAUUUUCAUUAACUUUCAGCACAUUUUGUUUCAGAAAACACAGAGCUCUAAAAUAAGAAAAUCUAAAAGGGAUUUACUUAAUAAAACAUCAACGUACUUCAUUGUUACUCAAUUGAUAACGCACUUGUUUUCUAUUGCUUAAGACUAAAAUAAUUGUAAUAAAUGUUUUCAGAUUGUUUAUACUAGGGAUGCUAGUGCUGCAGCAAUGCAUUCAAUGAUUUAAAAAGUGAUCAAAUCACUGAUAUAAAUUAUAAAUAAUAUAGCUACAACCAUUUGUUUUGCUUUUUUUCUUUUAUUCUACACAAUUCCUAAGAUUAAUAAAUGAAUAAUAUCUCAUUGUGGUCUAACUAGCCUAAAGCUGUGUGUUAAUAUUAAUUGUCUGCCAUUUCAUAACAUUGUAUUCUUUGAUUAUUAACAAAACGCUAAUAUUUUAACAAACUCUCUCAAACCGGAAAAAAUCCCAAGUUCUGACAUAUAGAAUUCUUUUUCUCAUAAUUAUUCUUGGGACCACACGCUCAGGAUUAUUAUGAUAAGCUGCAUGAUGCAUAUUAGAUGGUAACAUACAUUUAUUAAUGUUAGAUUAUACUUAUAAUAUUAUAUUAAAAUGCUCUAGAUUAACUAAAUAAUGCUCUAGAUUAACUAUUUUCAAACUAAUGUUAAAAGAAUACUUCAUAAGUCCUAAAAAUUUAAAUUUUCUCUGGAUUUCUUUUUGUGUGGUGGUAUCUAACGUAGGUCCAAGUUCCUGUGUAAACCACUGUAAACAGCUGAUUGAGGUUACAAGGCAUAUUAUGGGUGUUGAAAAUGCGCAUCGAGCGUUUGAUUUCUUGUCAUUCUGCAGUGCUGUAAUCUUGUUUAUACUCUCUUACAUCCGUGCAAUUUCUUGUCGAUCGCCAUAGAUGUGUUAGACCAUGAUAAAAAUUUUUAUAUAUUCUCAUUCCCGCCCGCCUCGAUUUCCCCCCUAUUAUUGUAAAAUUUCUGAUUUUCUUCGUCUUGAUUCUGGUCGGGAUCGGUAUUCACCUCCCCAUUCAACUUUCAUUUUAAUACCCGCGUAUUCUCCUUGACAGCUGACAGGCUAGGUGAAGGUAUGGGUAAUUUCUUGUGAAAGAAUUAGAUUGGUGGGCAUAAUACCGUUAUCUGCACCGCAUAUCUUUAAUAUACAGUUUAUUCCGUAAUUUAGGUUAUAUGAUAUUGUCCUACGGACCCAGUUUAACAAAAGAAUUCGUUUCCAUGUAUUGACAAUGUAGCAAGAUAAACACGGGCGUAACUCGAACUCAGUGAAUUCACUAUGAAUAAUCCCGAGAGUUCUUAAUGUCAGCAUGGUGUGUAAAUUCGAAGGGAGAAAAACGGUGAGAAAAUGAGCUGAAUUUUCGUCUUUAUCUGGAUUACUUUUUAGGGGUUGAUGCUUCACAGGAAGACGGUUCGUUUGGACGCCUGUUAAACGAUGAUCAUCUUCAUCCAAAUUGUAAGCCAAAAGUCAUUGAGAUAGAUGAGAAGCCAGUUAUUUGCUUUUACUCUCUAAAACCAAUACCUCCAGAUACAGAACUGUUGUAUUGAUUAUGGGCCUGGUAACAUGUAUCCUUGGAGAAGAAAGAGGAAGUAAAGGAUAUUGAUGCCAGUUCUUGUGUGGAUGAUGAGGAUCAGAGUGAGGAGGAAAUAGAUGACAGUCAAGACAACCAGAAUUUCCAAACUGUGACUCCAGGGAAGAGGGAGGCAGUAUCUGAUAGCGGAUGCUCCAGAGAAAUAGAUGAGUCUUCAUCCAAGCGACAGAAGUUACAGAAAAAGCCAUGGACUUCAUCUGAAAUAACUCCAUUCACAAACAUUUUUCACACUUUAUUACCAUGUUGAAGGUACCUGGGAAAAAUGAUGUAACAAAUGUUUUGAAAAAAGAUAAAAACCUUUCAAAAAGAACUUGGAGAAAUGUAAGAGACCAAGUCUACAAUCUAAUUAAAAAACAGAGAAAAUGUUGAUUUUGAUACUACUUUGAUUGUUCACUAGAAUUGAUGGUAUCUGUAUGAAAAAUGAUAUUUUUGUUUACAGUUCUUACAAUUUACAUAAAUUGUACAUAAAAGAAUUUGUUGAAUCAUUAUCAAAAUAGAUUUUGACAAAUUUCAGCUUUUUAGCUCAUAUGAGCCAAAGGCUCAAGUGAGCCUUUCUGAUCAAAAUUUGUCUGUUGUCUGUCGUUGUUGUGACCGGAAGGUCGGAUGUUCGAAUCCCUGCUGCGACUUGACCUGAGUCAAUAAGAAAUAGGUAGCAACUGUUCCAUGGCCAAGCGCUCAACACAUUGAAAUAAUAGUUUCAGGUCUUUCAGAUGAGACCUUAAAAACUGAGGUUCCGUGUCAUGGCAGGUGUUGGAAUGAUAAAGAUCCCUCACUAAGUUCCGAGUAAAGGUCUAAAUUUGAAGCCCUUCGCUGGUAUAUGGUGAGGUCUCUAUAUGACUGAAAAUCUCAAACGGGAUGUAAAACAACAUAAAAUCAAUCUAUCAAUCAGUCAUUGUCAACUUUUUACAAUAUCAUCUUCUUCUCCAGAACCACUGGGCCAGUUUCAACCAGACUUGGCACAAAUUACGAAUUCAAGUUUGUGCAAAUGAAGGGCCACAUCGUCUUUCAAGGGAAAAUAAUUAAGAAAAAGUAAAAUUGGGUGUUGUCAUUCAAAAAUCUUCUUCUCAAGAACCUUUGGGUCAGUAAAGAUGAAACUUAAAUGAAAGCUUUCUGACAAAGUGUAAAUUCAAUUUAUUCAAAUCAUGACCCCGGGGUAUUGGUGGAGCCAUUAUGGGCAAUCAAAGUUUUACAUAGGAAAAAUCUUUAAAAUCUUCUUCUUAAGAACAGCAGAGUCAUAAUCAGUCACAUUUAUAUGGAAGCAUCGUCAGGUAGUGUAGAUUCAAGUUUGUUCAAAUCAUGACCCCUGGGAGUAGGGUGGGGCCAUUAUGAACAAUCAAUACCUAGGAAUACAUAGGGAAAAUCCUUAAAAUCUAUUUCUCAAGAACAGCAUAGCCAUGAUAAUUCAUUUUAUAUGGAGGUAUCCUCAGGUAGUGUAGAAUCAAGUUUGGUCCAAUUGUGGCCCUGAGGUAGGGUGGGACAACUAUGGGCGGUCAAAUUUUUUACACAGGAAUACAUAGCAAAAUUCUUUAAAACUAUUUUCCCCAUGAAUAAAAAAGUAAUGAUUAGUCACAUAUAUAUAGAAGCAUCCUAUGGUAAGCAUAGAUUCAAGUUUGCUCUAGUCAUGAAUCCCCCCCACUACCUCCUGGGCUACAAUGAGUAAUCAAAUAAAAGUUUUUCAUAGGAAUAUGUAGAGAACAAAAUCUUCUGAUUAAAAACAAGAAUGGUCAUAAUUACUCAGGUGAGCAUUGUGGCCCAUGGGCACAUUGUUUAAUCAAAAUGCAGAGAAUAUGUUAAUUUGCAUAUUACAUGUACAUGUAAUAUUGAUCAGUUGGUCAUGUGAUAUAAUUUUAUAUCUGAAAUGAAAUGAUGACAAUUGUAUGAAUGAUGAUGAGUUUAAAGUCAGAUUCUUUAACACAUGUAUUUUCAAGAAAAAAUUUGUCUGGAGGUAUUUUGGAAAUUUACUUUUUAUAGUAUUGUAAUAAAUGUUUGUUUUCAUGCUAUGUUGAAGGUCGAGUAUCUACGAACACAACUGACUUGAAUGAACAUCAGAAGUAUUAGAUAAUGUAUUUACAACUGAAACUGUAAUAGAAUUUUAUCAAUUGAAUUUGUGAAAUUAAUUUGAUAAUAAAUUUUGAUUUUUUACCUAAA